UCCGCCCCUGCUCCGCGGCGGGGGCUGACUCCAGUGUGUGUCCCCGCCCGGCGCUUCUUUCCCGACCGGGCGACCCUACAAUAACAACCCGACCUGUGCUGCACUGCCCACGAUCUGCAGUUAUCUGCACGGCUCCCUACAGGAAUAUUCACGGGCCGGAUCCCAGCUGGAGAACACACCCGUGCAGCUAUGACUGACAGACCUCCAAGCUCCUCUGGCGGAAAAAGACACCUCUACCUGGCGGGGCAGACUGUUUCCCCCACACGUGACCAAUCGCCUUGUUCAUUUUGAGAAGUUGGUCCCGUGAGAGAUAUUUCCUCGCCCAUCUUCUGUAAACUCUGGAGAACGGGGGAAACCGAGUCCUCAGCAAUACCCCUGCCAUAACAGCUCCUGUUCCCUAGACCGGCCAUCAGUCUUGCUGCUCUUCUCUGGACCCUCUCCAAUGUCUCCACAUCUUCCUUGAAAUGUGGUGCCCAGAACUGGCCACAAUCCCCCAGCGGAGGCCUGACCAGCGCAGAGCAGA